rnacentral:rRNA from 1 species
GGCCAGACUCCUACGGGAGGCAGCAGUGGGGAAUAUUGCACAAUGGGGGAAACCCUGAUGCAGCGACGCCGCGCGAGUGAAGAAGUAUUUCGGUAUGUAAAGCUCUCUCAGCAGGAAAGAAAAUGACGGUACCUGACUAAGAAGCCCCGGCUAACUACGUGCCAGCAGCCGCGGUAAUACGUAGGGGGCAAGCGUUAUCCGGAUUUACUGGGUGUAAAGGGAGCGUAGACGGUGAAGCAAGUCUGAAGUGAAAGGCGGGGGCUCAACCCCCGGACUGCUUUGGAAACUGUUUGACUGGAGUGCAGGAGAGGUAAGUGGAAUUCCUAGUGUAGCGGUGAAAUGCGUAGAUAUUAGGAGGAACACCAGUGGCGAAGGCGGCUUACUGGACUGUAACUGACGUUGAGGCUCGAAAGCGUGGGGAGCAAACAGGAUUAGAUACCCGAGUAU